rnacentral:tRNA from 1 species
GCCUGGCCGGCUCAGUCGGUUGAGCGUCCAACUUCCGCUCAGGUCAUGAUCUCACGGUUUGUGGGUUCAAGUCCCAUGUCAGGCU